rnacentral:rRNA from 1 species
UACGUAGGGUGCAAGCGUUAAUCGGAAUUACUGGGCGUAAAGCGUGCGCAGGCGGUUGUGCAAGACCGAUGUGAAAUCCCCGGGCUUAACCUGGGAAUGGCAUUGGUGACUGCACGGCUAGAGUGUGUCAGAGGGGGUAGGAAGUUCCACGUGUGAGCAGUGAAAUGCGUAGAGAUGUGGAGGAAUACCGAUGGCGAAGGCAGCCCCUGGAUAACACUGACGCUCAUGCACGAAAGCGUGGGGAGCAAACAGG